UAGUGCUUAACGCUAGAACUGCGAUUGAUACUAUUAGGCUUGAGUUAAGAAGAGGUAAGCAGAAUUUAUGGUGUAGUAGUGAAAUGCUUAGAUAUCAUAAGGAAUACCAAUAGCGUAGGCAGCUUACUGGUCUUUAACUGACGCUGAGGCACGAAAGCGUGGGGAGCAAACAGGAUUAGAUACCCUGGUAGUCCACGCCGUAAACGAUGAUCACUCGAUAUACAUGAUGCGUUAUGUGUGUCUAAGCGAAAGCGUUAAGUGAUCCAC
rnacentral:rRNA from 1 species